AUGAACGCUGGCGGCGUGCUUAACACAUGCAAGUCGAACGAAGCACUUUAAAACAAUCUUUCGGGUGCGUUUUAUUGUGACUUAGUGGCGGACGGGUGAGUAACGCGUGGGUAACCUGCCUCAUGCAGGGGGAUAACAGUUAGAAAUGACUGCUAAUACCGCAUAAGCGCACAGUACCGCAUGGUACAGUGUGAAAAGAUUUAUCAGCAUGAGAUGGACCCGCGUCUGAUUAGCUAGUUGGUGAGGUAACGGCUCACCAAGGCGACGAUCAGUAGCCGACCUGAGAGGGUGACCGGCCACAUUGGGACUGAGACACGGCCCAAACUCCUACGGGAGGCAGCAGUGGGGAAUAUUGCACAAUGGGCGAAAGCCUGAUGCAGCGACGCCGCGUGAGUGAAGAAGUAUUUCGGUAUGUAAAGCUCUAUCAGCAGGGAAGAAAAUGACGGUACCUGACUAAGAAGCACCGGCUAAAUACGUG
rnacentral:rRNA from 1 species